UCACCGGAAUUGUUUAUUUGGUAUCCGUGAUUACAGGUAUAAAUUAAAUGGGACAAAGCUGGUAAUUUUGUACCCUCCUGCACGUCGCAAUUGCUUUGUUGUGAUUGGCAUUACAAAUUACAUAAUUGUCGAUAGCAAUUUGCUAACUUGGAAGACACCGUACAAACAUUUGUUUCUAUUGCCACGAUUGAAAGAGGUAUGAAUGUUAAGAAGACUAUGAAAUAAAACUAAUUGUUCAAUUAUUCGAUCAUUCGUCAAUUAAAUUUUCUACAAGAAUCAUACAAAGUCAAAAAUAAAAACAUUUUUUAAAUAACAAGAUUCUUUUACUAUCAGGUAGUUGAUUAACGCUUGAAUUACAUGUUUACGAAUACUAUUUAUAAUUGAUAUUACCAAUAUUCUUGUUUUCUUAGUUCAAAAUAAAUAAUAUUAUUCUUUAAGUUCAACGGUAUUCUGUAAUCUUACACAAAACUGGUUUCUGAUUUCUUGGAACGAGAUGCGUCGUAUAUUCGUUUAUUGAAUAAUUUAUUAUUCCAUAACAUAUAUUAUAUUCGUUUUUCCUACUAAAAAUACUUUCAAUUUUAAUGCUAAGUUUUCGGGUUAUUUAAUCUAUGGGAAGGAAUUUGUAUUUCGCGCCGAAUUGGUUUGGUAGAUGCGGCGCUAGUGGAGUGGCGAGGGCAUGCAAGGGCUCGAGAAGUAAAGGUUGGUGUAUCGUACCAUGAGCUAUGUGCAUGGGUAGGAAAUCUGACCACUUCCAUUCAGGUCAGUUACCUAUAUAAAACGUUUGUGCAUAGACACAGUUACGCCAUAUUGACAUGUUCUAAGUUUUUCGAAUACCGUGAGGCUAUUCUUGUGCGAUUUACACACAAUUCCUGAUUUCCUACUAUUCAGGUAUCAUAAACAUUAUAUACAAAAUCAUUCCUGCUAUAAAACUAUUACAUAUUUAGCCUAUUCACGGCUAAUUAGUGCUAUUAAUAACUAUUCCGAUUGGUCAUAUUCCAAAGUCAUCUACAAUCGCAACAAAUUAUGACCAGACUGAUAUAUAAUCAAUGUUAAACGUUCAUGUGAAGUGUUAUUUUAAUAUUUGGAUAUAAAGAUUCGUUUGUUAUUUAUGAGUUUCAUGUUCUUUGUUGAACAUUUUUAAAUAUGUCUGCGAAAUUUACAAAUGUGAUGGUACAAUUGAGGAGAAAUUAUUCAAGAGGCGUAAGUGUUGAAAACACUGUAGAGGAGCUUCUAUCAUUGAAUUAUUAUCGGUUUCCUGAAGUAUGUUUAGCAACAGUUAAAUAUUGGUUUAAUAUUUUCCUUGAUUAUGAAAUGAAACAUUCUCGUAUACGUGAAAUAUUCGUCGUAACAUACGAAGAGACUGAAGCAUUUUUAUCAUGACUAAUAAAAGAAAAUCCUUUUUGGACGACUACUCACUUUUUGGAUGCUUUAAAAAUUAACAGUCAAUCUCUGGAUAGUCAAAUGGUAAAAAUAAAUUAAAAUAUUGAGUUUUGGCGCUCUUUCCUUGAAUUAAGCGACCUCUCGUGAGAAAAUAUAUUAGCUGGAACAGCGACACGCCCAUCCGAAACGCGUUACAUGGAAAUAAGCCGUUAUAGUUACUUUGUUUACAAACUAUUUACUGAAAUCAGUGUGUUUAUCUAUGAUGACCGAUGAAAUAUUUGAUGCAACACUGAAUACUACUGAAUUAGAAGCUUGGCUGGCGUUCAAAGAUGUUGUCAACAAUUUUUUAGGAAAUCACAAACAUCCUGAUUAUAAAAAUAUUGUAGCAAACUUAUUAAAUAAAUAUAAAAAAUUAGGGUGUAAUAUGAGUAUAAAUCUCCAUUUUUCAUAUUCACAUGUGGAUUUUUUCCCUAAUAAUCUUGGUGAUUAUAGUGAAGAACAUGGAGAAAGGUUUCACCAAGACAUUAAAACUAUGGAAACAAGGUACCAUGGUCGAUGGAAUGUGAAUAUGAUAACUGCUGGUCAAUAAAACGUGAUAUUAUUGAUGAUUCUAUUAAAAAAAUUACACCCAGACGUAAUUUUAUCAAUAAACGUAAAAGAUGUCACUCAAAAUAGCCCUGUAGCAAUUAUUGUACUUGAUAUUUUCUCUUUGUAAGUUUUCAAAUAUAUGUAUUUAUAAUA
rnacentral:lncRNA from 1 species